UGGGGAAUAUUGCACAAUGGGCGCAAGCCUGAUGCAGCCAUGCCGCGUGUAGAAGAGGCCUUCGGGUUGUAAAGUACUUUCAGCGAGGAGGAAGGCGUUGUGGUUAAUAACCGCAGCGAUUGACGUUACUCGCAGAAGAAGCACCGGCUAACUCCGUGCCAGCAGCCGCGGUAAUACGGAGGGUGCAAGCGUUAAUCGGAAUUACUGGGCGUAAAGCGCGCGCAGGCGGUCUGUCAAGUCGGAUGUGAAAUCCCCGGGCUCAACCUGGGAACUGCAUCCGAAACUGGCAGGCUAGAGUCUUGUAGA
rnacentral:rRNA from 1 species